rnacentral:lncRNA from 1 species
GAAAUCCAAGGAUCCAUAAAUAUCUUUUUCUGUCAUGGGGGGCCAUGACACUGCAUCAAAUUCCUCAUUCAGCUUGUCGAUGAUGUUCAAGGAAGAGGAACGCUGGAGCACAUCCUCAGCAGCUGUCCUAAAGCUACUAUCGCUAGCCCCAGACUGAAAGCCCAAACAAGUCUCCUAGGAACAGCAAAACACUGGCAGCUAAAGGUGGCCUGAGGAAAGCAAGCAUCUCAAUCUGCUCCAUAAGCAAGGCCAUUUAGUAGACCUCUUGCUCUCCCUUACUCAUCAAAUUCCACGUACCUACCGGUAGCAUAAUUUACUUAAUAUUAUCUAUUUCGGUAUGUAUUCUCUAUGAUCUAUGCCUAUUCUCUCCUCUCCUCUCCUCCCCCUUCUCCUCUCUCUCUACCUAGCCGGCCAUCAGCAGGAGGGUCCCCCUACAUGAGCCUGGUCCUGCUCAAGGUUUCUUCCUGUUAAACGGGAGUUUUUCCUUGCCACUGUUGCUUGUUUGGGGUCAGGCCCUGGGAUUCUGUAAAGCGCCUAGAAACAAUUUUGAUUGUAAAAGACGCUAUAUGAAUAAAAAUUGAUUGAUCGAUUGAUUGUAAUUGUAAUUUAAGUUACAGAAGUACACAAACUUGCUGCCAGAUUGUUGUUGCCUCAAAUACGAAUUUCCGGCACUCGUUCCCGGGCUGAUUUCCCAAUAAUGACCUUUAGUCUGACUAUGUUUGUCUGCUCCCUGCCUGCUUCCAUUGUGCUUUGAGCCCCUCCUUGGACUGUUUAUAACCCGUCGCAGGUGUCACCUACGUUUUGUUGAGUGGUCAAAGUGGCCGUUUUGGGACAAAAUGACACAAUGUCCAUCUGUGGGUCAACUUUAAAUUUCUGUCCCUUCUCUCCACCUCAGCCAGCUGCUCUUCAUACAUCAGAUUGGUUCAAACAUGCAUGCCUUCUUUACAUCGGUCUGACAUUUAGAUGCAUUAUCCUAUUUAAUAAUAAACUGUUGGGUUCCAGGGUUCCGGGUCACUUGUGGCUUGUUUCUCCCUGCAGGGGGGCGUGGAGGAGCCGAUCAUCAUCCACAGCUGGCGCUGCAGGCGGACGCACCUUUCCAUCAACCGUUCCAUUUAGAGACAGAGCGCCCGUCUGCCAAGAGUGUUUUCUUCUCCUCAUGGUAACUUGCUAACGUUGUCACUCGGUCGAGGUCUCCACCCCUACUUGCAGAUAUGAACUGCUCGGCGAACUAAUGGUCCGCAUUGGAUCCGCGCUGGAGCUACCGGUGCGUCCCGGAGGACCGAUCGAGAGAUUCUCUGAAUGACCGAGCAGAACCUUGUGCACCUUGUGUUUCGAAUAAAGGCGCUUUCAGGACACUAUUCCCCAUUGCGUGUUGCCUGCUCUCGGGUCUUGAGACAACCAGUUCUAACAAACAACAUAUUUAGUCAUAUUUCUUGUCCUGAUUCUAAACCUUCUCCAUCUUCUCAUAAUAGAGUAAAUACGCUGUUUUCUGCCGCUGCUGGCACACAUGGUUAAAAGUCGUUUCUUUGACAAUGUCGUCAUCAUAUGUCACCCAGCAGGCAUUCCCAUCCCCUUGGCUUGCGUUUCGAUAAACUCCGUCACAAAUGUAAUGGCCUGUGAAGGAAGGAACUGCUUUGUUAGUGGUCAAACGAGGAGAACAUUGGUUUUCAACACAGUACUGACAGCUAAACACUGACCGCUGGUAGUGCAACUCCCCAAAUGGUUGACGAUGCUCUUCAGAGUAUAUUUUGUCUACAGAAAAUAAAAAGAACAAGCCAUUAGCUCCACUCUUUGAGCCAUUUCAGACUGAUGACUGCUUCAAGGUUUAUCAAGGGUUUACCUUCUCACUGCUCUGAUUUGUAUGGAGCAGCAGCUCCCUGGAUAAACAUGUGGCUUUGUGAAUUUUUUGCGCAGCAAAGUAGGACCACUUAAAUCUCAAUAGGUGGAUGAUCAGCACACUAUCGAGAAGAAAAGGGGAGGGAAGAGGAGAUGUAGAGACAGUUAGGGCCUUUAGAAGGCAGCAGAUGUGAGGAUGCUGAGAUGG